GUCUACAGCUAUGCCACCCUGAACAAGCCGGAUCCUGUCUGAUCUUGGAAGAUAAGCAGGGUCAGGCCUGGUCAAUAUUUGGAUGAGAGACCACCUAGGAAGACCAGGUGCUAUAGGUG
rfam:Pteropus alecto contig70831, whole genome shotgun sequence.